UCAAGAAACUUCCACAAUGGGCGAAAGCCUGAUGGAGCGACGUCGCGUGAUGGACGAAGUGCUUCGGCACGUAAACAUCUUUUAUGUGGGAUGAAAUUAUUGACAGUACCACAUGAAUAAGGGGCUCCUAACUCUGUGCCAGCAGGAGCGGUAAUACAGAGGCCCCAAGCGUUAUCCGGAAUCACUGGGCGUAAAGGGUGUCGAGGCGGUUGUAUUAGUCGUUCGUAAAAUCUACGAGCUUAACUUGUAGGCGGCGAACGAAACGGUACGACUUGAGGUUUGGAUAGGUGCGUGGAACUCACGGUGUAGGGGUGAAAUCCGUUGAUAUCGUGGGGAACACCAAAGGCGAAGGCAGCGCACUGGCCAAAAUCUGACGCUCACACACGAAAGCUAGGGUAGCGAAGAGGAUUAGAUACCCCUGUAGUCCCUGAGCGGGCUGGCAAGGCGCAU
rnacentral:rRNA from 1 species